rnacentral:rRNA from 1 species
UACGAAGGGGGCUAGCGUUGUUCGGAAUUACUGGGCGUAAAGCGCGCGCAGGCGGUCUUCCAAGUCAGUGGUGAAAGCCUGGAGCUCAACUCCAGAACUGCCAUUGAAACUGUUAGACUUGAGUACGAGAGAGGUGAGUGGAAUUCCCAGUGUAGAGGUGAAAUUCGUAGAUAUUGGGAAGAACACCAGUGGCGAAGGCGGCUCGCUGGGCAGUGGCUGACGCUGAGGCGCGACAGCGUGGGGAGCAAACAGG